UACGUAGGGCGCAAGCGUUAUCCGGAAUUAUUGGGCGUAAAGAGCUCGUAGGCGGUUUGUCGCGUCUGCCGUGAAAGUCCGGGGCUCAACUCCGGAUCUGCAGUCGAUACGGGCAGGCUAGAGUUCGGUAGGGGAGAUCGGAAUUCCUGGUGUAGCGGUGAAAUGCGCAGAUAUCAGGAGGAACACCGGUGGCGAAGGCGGCACUCUGGGCCGGUACUGACGCUGAGGAGCGAAAGCGUGGGGAGCGAACAGG
rnacentral:rRNA from 1 species